rnacentral:rRNA from 1 species
UACAGAGGGGGCCAGCGUUAUUCGGAAUUAUUGGGCGUAAAGGGCGCGUAGGCGCCAUGCGUGUCUUCCGUGAAAUCCCUCGGCUUAACUGAGGACGUGCGGAAGAAAACUGCAAGGCUCGAGUCCGGGGAGAGGGGGGUGGAAUUCCCAGUGUAGCGGAUGAAAUGCGUAGAUUAUUGGGAGGAACACCGGUGGCCGAAGGCGGCCCCCUGGACCGGUAC